rnacentral:rRNA from 1 species
UACGGGAGGCAGCAGUGGGGAAUCUUCCGCAAUGGGCGAAAGCCUGACGGAGCAACGCCGCGUGAGUGAAGAAGGGUUUCGGCUCGUAAAGCUCUGUUGACGGGGACGAACGUGCGGUUUGCAAAUAGUGAACAGCAAUGACGGUACCCGUCGAGGAAGCCACGGCUAACUACGUGCCAGCAGCCGCGGUAAU